rnacentral:rRNA from 1 species
GAUUAGCCAUGCAGUCUCAGUACAAGCCGAACUAAGGUGAAACCGCAAAAGGCUCAUUAAAUCAGUUAUGGUUCCUUGGAUCGUACAAUCCAUUACUUGGAUAACUGUGGUAAUUCUAGAGCUAAUACAUGCAAACAGAGUCCCGACCAGAAAUGGAAGGGACGCUUUUAUUAGAUCAAAACCAAUCGACGUCCGUCUUCCUCCGGGUCGACGGCGCCGUACUCCUUGGUGACUCUGAAUAACUUUUGGCAGAUCGCACGGUCUUCGAACCGGCGACGCAUCCUUCAAAUGUCUGCCUUAUCAACUGUCGAUGGUAGGUUCUGCGCCUACCAUGGUUGUAACGGGUAACGGGGAAUCAGGGUUCGAUUCCGGAGAGGGAGCCUGAGAAACGGCUACCACAUCCAAGGAAGGCAGCAGGCGCGCAAAUUACCCACUCCCGGCACGGGGAGGUAGUGACGAAAAAUAACGAUACGGGACUCAUCCGAGGCCCCGUAAUCGGAAUGAGUAUACUCUAAAUCCUUAUACGAGUAUCAAUUGGAGGGCAAGUCUGGUGCCAGCAGCCGCGGUAAUUCCAGCUCCAAUAGCGUAUAUUAAAGUUGUUGCGGUUAAAAAGCUCGUAGUUGGAUCUGUGUCCCGCACCGUCGGUUCACCGCCUGUCGGUGUUCAACUGGUGUGUAUGCGGGACGUCCUGCCGGUGGCGGUCCGGUUCCCCGUGGGUACGUAGGGGCGUCCUUGCUUACGCUUGCGUCGUCCCCGAAGGCCUGCGCGGUGUAUCCGGCCGCCUUUUCAAUCCCGUCGCGGUGCUCUUCACUGAGUGUCGAGGCGGGCCGGCACGUUUACUUUGAACAAAUUAGAGUGCUUUAAGCAGGCCCUGUCCCGCCUGUAUGUUGUGUGCAUGGAAUAAUGGAAUAGGACCUCGGUUCUAUUUUGUUGGUUUUCGGAAUCUGAGGUAAUGAUCAAUGGGGACAGGCGGGGGCAUUCGUAUUGCGACGUUAGAGGUGAAAUUCUUGG